rnacentral:rRNA from 1 species
UGAGUACGAGACGCUAAGGCGUCGAAGUAGUGGAUGUCAUACUUCCAAGAAAAGCUUGCACUGUCAUAAAUAAAAAUGCCUGUACCAUAACCGACACAGGUGGGUAAGUAGAGUAUACUAAGGGGCGCGAGAUAACUCUCUCUAAGGAACUCGGCAAAAUAACUCCGUAACUUCGGGAGAAGGAGUGCCUUAUUCUUAAGGUUGCAAUAACAAGAUCCAAGCAACUGUUUAUCAAAAACACAGGUCUCCGCUAAGUCGUAAGACGAUGUAUGGGGGCUGACGCCUGCCCAGUGCCAGAAGGUUAAAGAAGUCGGUUAGCAAUAGCAAAGCUGGUAACUGAAGCCCUGGUGAACGGCGGCCGUAACGAUAACGGUCCUAAGGUAGCGAAAUUCCUUGUCGGGUAAGUUCCGACCCGCACGAAAGGCGUAAUGAUUUGGAUGCUGUCUCGGAGAGGGGCUCGGUGAAAUAGACUUGUCUGUGAAGAUGCGGACUACCUGCACCAGGACAGAAAGACCCUAUGAAGCUUUACUGUAACUUGAAAUUAAAAUUGGACUUUAUUCGCGCAGUAUAGGUGGGAGGCGUUGAUUAUAAUCUUGUGGGAUUAUUGGAGCCAUCAGUGAGAUACCACUCUUGUAAUGUUAGAUUUCUAACUUUGAAUCAUUAUCUGGUCAAAGGACAGUUUCAGGCGGGCAGUUUGACUGGGGCGGUCGCCUCCUAAACGGUAACGGAGGCGUACAAAGGUUUCCUCUGAACGGUUAGAAAUCGUAUCUAGAGUGUAAAGGCAUAAGGAAGCUUGACUGUGAGACCUACAAGUCGAGCAGGGACGAAAGUCGGUCUUAGUGAUCUGACGGUACUGAGUGGAAAGGCCGUCACUCAACGGAUAAAAGUUACUCUAGGAUAACAGGCUGAUCUCCCCCAAGAGUUCACAUCGACGGGGAGGUUUGGCACCUCGAUGUCGGCUCAUCGCAUCCUGGGGCGGUAGUACGUCCCAAGGGUUGGGCUGUUCGCCCAUGAAGCGGUACGCGAGCUGGGUUCAGAACGUCGUGAGACAGUUCGGUCCAUAUCCGGUGUAGGCGCUAGAAUAUUGAGAGGAGCCUUCUUUAGUACGAGAGGACCGAGAAGGACAUACCUCUGGUGUACCAGUUAUCGUGCCAACGGUAAACGCUGGGUAGCUAUGUAUGGAGUGGAUAACCGCUGAAAGCAUCUAAGUGGGAAGCCCACCUCAAGAUAAGUAUUCUCAUCACGUAAGUGAGUAAGGUCAAGGUAAGACUAACCGUUUGAUAGGCAUUAGGUGUAGGUACAGUAAUGUAUGUGCUGAGAUGUCCUAAUAGACCGAGGACUU